rnacentral:rRNA from 1 species
AGCGAACGCUGGCGGUAGGCCUAACACAUGCAAGUCGAACGACCCUUCCGUGGUUAGUGGCGGACGGGUGAGUAACACGUGGGAACGUGCCUUUAGGCUCGGAAUUAUUCAGUGUAACUUGGGCUAACGCCGGAUGAGCCCCUCGGGGGCAAGAUUCAUCGUCCUUAGGACGGCCGGCGUCUGACUAGCCAGUUGGUAGUGGAAAUGGCUCACCAAGGCUACCUUCAGUAGCUGGUCAGAGAGGAAGAUCAGCCACAUUGGGAGUGAGACACGGCCCAAACUACUACGGGAGGCAGCAGUGGGGAAUCUUGCGCAAUGGGCGAAAGCCUGACGCAGCCAUGCCGCGUGAAUGAUGAAGGUCUGAGGAUUGUGAAAUUCUUUCACCGGGGACGAUAAUGACGGUACCCGGAGAAGAAGCCCCGGCUAACUUCGUG